GAUGAAGAACGCAGCGAAAUGCGAUAAGUAAUGUGAAUUGCAGAAUUCAGUGAAUCAUCGAAUCUUUGAACGCACAUUGCGCCCGCCAGUAUUCUGGCGGGCAUGCCUGUUCGAGCGUCAUUACAACCCUCAGGCCCCCGGGCCUGGCGUUGGGGAUCGGCGGAAGCCCCCUGUGGGCACACGCCGUCCCUCAAAUACAGUGGCGGUCCCGCCGCAGCUUCCAUUGCGUAGUAGCUAACACCUCGCAACUGGAGAGCGGCGCGGCCAUGCCGUAAAACACCCAUCUUCUGAAUGUUGACCUCGAAUCAGGUAGGAAUACCCGCUGAACUUAAGCAUAUCAAUAAGCGGAGGA
rnacentral:misc_RNA from 1 species